UUUCCGUAGGUGAACCUGCGGAAGGAUCAUUCAUAAUAAAGUGUUUUAUGGCACUUUUUAAAAAUCCAUAUCCACCUUGUGUGCAAUGUUAGAUCUCGUCAAUCUUGGCGAGAUUUUCAUACAUCAACUCAUUCUUUAACUAAUUUGUCUGAAAAAUAUUAUGAAUACUUUAUUCAAAAUACAACUUUCAACAACGGAUCUCUUGGCUUUC
rnacentral:misc_RNA from 1 species